rnacentral:rRNA from 1 species
UACGUAGGGUCCGAGCGUUGUCCGGAAUUAUUGGGCGUAAAGGGCUCGUAGGCGGUCUGUCACGUCGGGAGUGAAAACUCAGGGCUCAACCCUGAGCGUGCUUCCGAUACGGGCAGACUAGAGGUAUGCAGGGGAGAACGGAAUUCCUGGUGUAGCGGUGGAAUGCGCAGAUAUCAGGAGGAACACCGGUGGCGAAGGCGGUUCUCUGGGCAUGACCUGACGCUGAGGAGCGAAAGCGUGGGGAGCAAACAGG